UACAGAGGGUGCGAGCGUUGUCCGGAAUCACUGGGCGUAAAGGGCGCGUAGGUGGUGGCUUAAGCGUGCGGUGAAAGCUCGGAGCUCAACUCCGAGUCGGCCGUGCGAACUGGGCUCACUGGAGCAUAGUAGAGGCAGGUGGAAUUCCGGGUGUAGCGGUGGAAUGCGUAGAGAUCCGGAAGAACACCGGUGGCGAAGGCGGCCUGCUGGGCUAUGGCUGACACUGAGGCGCGACGAGCGUGGGGAGCAAACAGG
rnacentral:rRNA from 1 species